CUGUUUAUAGUGUAAUUAAUCACGUUAGUUUUUCGUUCUAAAGAUACGAAAAAGUUCGUUAAGCAGU
rnacentral:tRNA from 1 species